CAAGGCGCGCUUAUAAGCCUGUGCCGCCGGCCCGCUCCUAAGCAAAGAGGCUAGCCCGGCUGCUUCACCCACCUUCGUGUUUUACAUUUCAGAUCACCCGAAUCAGACGACUGCACUCGCAGCCGCCGUCGACCAACCCAAAAAACCCUAGACACAUCCGAGAUCCACCGUUUCAGUACUGAAAUUUUUGAUGACGGGCAGAGUUGAGUAUGACGUUUGACUAAGGUGCACCGACCUCUUCUUUUCAAAAGAGCCCGUGUGGCGAGACUAACACUGGUGCCUAGCGUCGUCAAGGCCCGAGUGCUUCUUAGAGUUGACAACAACCGGCAUCCCACUUUUGAAAUAAUCUCACUAAACCUAAAGUUGUUGGUAAAAUUUGUAGAAAGUGAAAACCAAUCUUUUUUAUUGAAACAAAAAUUUCAGUAAAAAUUUAAUUAUUCUGCAUUAGAUGCAAUCAUUUUUAUUUAUUACAACAACAUCAUACAUCAAGUCAAGACACAAAAAUUAAUGAAGAAGAGAUUUAUUUGGAGAUUGGAGUCAGAAGAUUCAGUAAAACAACAUCAAAAUUGUCUUAUAAUACAAAUUGCUACAUUGCUUUUCCCACUUCAACAUUUGAUCCAAAAGAAGCUACUCCU